GAUGAACGCUGGCGGCGUGCCUAAUACAUGCCAGUCGAGCGAACAGACGAGGAGCUUGCUCCUCUGACGUUAGCGGCGGACGGGUGAGUAACACGUGGAUAACCUACCUAUAAGACUGGGAUAACUUCGGGAAACCGGAGCUAAUACCGGAUAAUAUAUUGAACCGCAUGGUUCAAUAGUGAAAGACGGUUUUGCUGUCACUUAUAGAUGGAUCCGCGCCGCAUUAGCUAGUUGGUAAGGUAACGGCUUACCAAGGCAACGAUACGUAGCCGACCUGAGAGGGUGAUCGGCCACACUGGAACUGAGACACGGUCCAGACUCCUACGGGAGGCAGCAGUAGGGAAUCUUCCGCAAUGGGCGAAAGCCUGACGGAGCAACGCCGCGUGAGUGAUGAAGGUCUUCGGAUCGUAAAACUCUGUUAUUAGGGAAGAACAAAUGUGUAAGUAACUAUGCACGUCUUGACGGUACCUAAUCAGAAAGCCACGGCUAACUACGUG
rnacentral:rRNA from 1 species